rnacentral:lncRNA from 1 species
CUGGCGCCCGGCACCCACGUGCGGUAACCGCGGCUCCUCGAGAGCUCCAGGGAUGCGGAUCUACAGUAAGGGCUGUGGCCAGAUGAAUGAAUGCACAUUUUUUAGUGGGCAGAAAGAUGUUAGAAUUCAUGAAUUAGAAUAAGCACAAAGGAGGGCGAGAGGGGAGGCCGUGGAAGCCGCAUUCCUCCCCUUGCCUUGGGCGCCCACCCCCGAAGGGGCGCGUCCCCUCCCUGCUCCACUGCACGUGGGUGUUUAACCAGGGGAUAUCCAGUGCCUCAAGCACCACGACCCGGGAGAAAACUGAGUUGAGAAGGCCUUGGGGAUGAAGGUGAGAAAUUCGAGAAUCCCCGGAGAUAACACAUCAGCAAAUAGUGCGCAGGCAGAACAAGCUGUUGGAGGUGAGAGACACAGAGCAGAGAAGCACCCGCACCUGGAGAGUCAGGAGGGCCUCACAUCAGAACGCCUGAGCAAAUACAGUUUUGAAGGAUACUAAUUUUUUAAAAAGUUCAUUCACAUGAGUUAGACAAAGAGAAAGAAGCAGGACAUUCUAGGAAGAAGGAACGGCCCAGGCAAAAGCGACGCGUACAUUGGCGUGGGUCCAUUCAAGAAUUGUGCCCACAAUAUACCAGGCACUUGUCCAGACCUGCAUCGUCCAAUGCCCACCUCGACCUCCCAAAGUGUUGGGAUUAGAGGCGUGAGCCACCGCGCCCUGCCUGCAUGUGGCUAUUGAGAUGUGCUGUAUGAUACACACCGGACUUUGAAGACUCAGUGUGAAAAAUAAAAAGAAUUUUAAGAGGGGUGGGGGUCGAGGGGAGGCAGAGCAGUAGGACAAAUAGCUAAUGCACGCAGGGCUUAAAACCUAGACAACAGGUUGAUGGGUGCAGCAAACCACCAUGACACAUGUUUAUCUAUAUAGCACCUACAUGUUCUGCACUUGUAUCCUGGAACUUAAAAUUAGAAAAAAAAAAUAAUAAAAGCCAACAUGGCAUUCAUUACUGCCAAAAAAAUUAAAACACAUUGUUAAUUUUGUAUAUUGAUUACAGGUUGAACUGAUAAUAUUUUGAAUAUAUUGGGUUAAAGAAAUACAUUUAAAAUUAGUGGCUAGGCACAGUGGCUCAUGCCUGUAACCCCAGCACUUUGGGAGGCUGAGGCGGGUGGAUCACCUGAGGUCUGGAGUUCGAGAUGAGCCUGGCCAACAUGGUGAAACCCCAUUUCUACUAAAAAUACAAAAAUCAGCCGGGUGUGGUGGUGAGUGCCUGUAAUCCCAACUACUUGGGAGGCUGAGGCAGGAGAAUCGUUUGAACCCGGGAGGUGUAGGUUACAGUGAGCCGAGAUUGUCCCACUGCACUCCAGCCUGGGUGACAGAGUGAGACUCCAUCUUAAUAAUAAUAAUAAAACUAUUUCUUGCUGUUUUACUUUUCUAAUGUGACCACCAGAAAAGUUUAGAUGGCUUGUGUGACUCUCAUCAUUGAACGGAGCUGUUCUAAACAUGGGUAAGACAACGCAGAGCUUCGGUUGCAGGACAGAGAAUGAAAUAAUAGACCCAUAAGACAGAUAAGUGACUGAUUGUGACUGCUAGGGUGUUUACAGCAUAGGCCGGUGACAGGAACGAGGAGUGUGGGGAUGAGAGCCGACGUGGGCGAGAGUGCAUGCAAUGCAGGGUCAGACGUUGGAUUCAUCUCUCAGGAGUUGAAAAAGGUGGCGUUCCUGUUCUUUAUUGGCAUUGCUUGUGACACGAGGAUUGCCCCUCUUCCUGAAGAGGUUGGUCAGGAAAAUUUUU